GAAGGGGGGCAGCUCCUCAGCACGCCGAGCCGCCAGCCGCGCCCCGAGCCCCUUCGCACGGCGUUUCGCCCCCGCAGCCGCAGAUAUCUGGAAACAUGGCUACUGAACAUGUGAAUGGGAAUGGUACUGAAGAGCCAAUGGACACUUCUGCUGCAGUUACCCAUUCUGAGCACUUCCAGACGUUGCUUGAUGCUGGUUUACCACAGAAAGUUGCUGAAAAACUAGAUGAAAUUUACGUGGCAGGGCUAGUUGCACAUAGUGAUCUAGAUGAAAGAGCUAUUGAAGCUUUAAAGGAAUUUAAUGAAGAAGGUGCAUUGGCAGUGCUUCAGCAGUUUAAAGACAGUGAUCUCUCACAUGUUCAGAACAAAAGUGCCUUUUUAUGUGGAGUCAUGAAGACAUACAGGCAGAGGGAAAAACAGGGGACCAAGGUGGCAGAUUCUAGCAAAGGACCAGAUGAGGCAAAAAUUAAGGCACUCUUGGAAAGAACCGGCUACACUCUUGAUGUGACUACAGGACAGAGAAAGUAUGGUGGGCCUCCUCCAGAGUCUGUAUAUUCAGGACAGCAGCCUUCUGUUGGAACAGAGAUAUUUGUGGGUAAGAUUCCAAGAGAUUUGUUUGAAGAUGAACUCGUUCCAUUAUUUGAGAAAGCUGGACCUAUCUGGGAUCUCCGCUUAAUGAUGGAUCCAUUAACUGGUCUAAAUAGAGGAUAUGCUUUUGUCACAUUUUGUACUAAAGAAGCAGCUCAGGAGGCUGUUAAGCUGUACAACAAUCAUGAAAUUCGCUCUGGAAAACAUAUUGGUGUAUGCAUCUCUGUUGCCAAUAAUAGACUUUUUGUUGGUUCUAUUCCUAAGAGUAAAACCAAGGAGCAAAUUGUUGAAGAAUUCAGCAAAGUAACAGAGGGCCUUACAGAUGUCAUAUUGUAUCAUCAACCUGAUGACAAGAAAAAGAACCGGGGUUUCUGUUUCCUUGAAUAUGAAGAUCACAAAACUGCUGCUCAAGCCAGACGUAGGUUAAUGAGUGGCAAAGUGAAAGUCUGGGGAAAUGUUGUUACAGUUGAAUGGGCUGACCCUAUAGAAGACCCAGAUCCAGAAGUCAUGGCAAAGGUAAAAGUUCUGUUUGUCCGCAAUCUUGCCAACACUGUAACAGAGGAGAUACUAGAAAAGGCCUUCAGUCAGUUUGGAAAGCUAGAGCGAGUGAAGAAGCUAAAAGAUUACGCUUUCAUUCAUUUUGAUGAACGGGAUGGUGCUGUAAAGGCAAUGGAAGAAAUGAAUGGCAAAGAUUUAGAGGGAGAAAACAUUGAAAUUGUUUUUGCUAAGCCACCAGAUCAAAAAAGGAAAGAACGGAAAGCUCAGAGACAAGCGGCUAAAAAUCAGAUGUAUGAUGAUUACUACUAUUACGGUCCACCUCAUAUGCCCCCUCCAACAAGAGGUCGAGGCCGAGGAGGCAGAGGUGGUUACGGAUAUCCCCCUGACUAUUACGGAUAUGAAGAUUAUUAUGAUUAUUAUGGCUAUGACUACCAUAACUAUCGUGGUGGAUAUGAAGAUCCUUACUAUGGUUAUGAAGAUUUUCAAGUUGGAGCUAGAGGAAGGGGUGGUAGAGGAGCAAGGGGUGCUGCUCCAUCCAGAGGUCGCGGGGCCGCUCCUCCCCGUGGCAGAGCCGGUUAUGCACAGAGAGGUGGUCCUGGAUCAGCAAGAGGCGUUCGUGGUGCGAGAGGAGGUGCCCAGCAACAAAGAGGCCGCGGGCAGGGAAAAGGGGUCGAGGCCGGUCCUGACCUGUUACAAUGAAGACUGACUUGCUAUGUGGGAUUACACCAGAAGCUUGCAGUGGAGUAAUGUCAUUUAGGUAAAGCCAGCUGUGUCAGAAAUGUGGAUUCCUUCUACUCUGAGACUGAUGCAUGUGUCUGAUGAAUGGAGAUAGUUUGCUAUCUCCGUUUGUGCAGUUAGUAUGGCAGAGAACGCCUCUUCGCUUGGUUUGGCCACUCAUGUGGAAGAAAAGGCACUGAAUCUUAUUACAUUUCCUUGUGCUAAGGAAGCUACGAAGUGCAUUCAUGGUAUUGCUACCUACCCAGUAGAGUAGCAUAAGACGUUCAACUGCAGACGUGAUAAUGGUAAGUAAAUAUAGACAUUCCACUACUUAAAUUAAUUUCAGUACCUAAAAUCCAACUUCUGUAGGAAAUUGACUCCUUAUUUGCUGGAAAUAGGAAGGUUAUAUGGGUUUUGGUUUGGAAAUUUUUGUGUUUAUUACAGUGGUAAUUGAAUAUUGAGUGUAAGCUGAUGUUAAAUACUUUCGACCUAAAAGUCAUCAAAAAUGCUGCCGGUAUAUCAUGUAUGUAUUUUUGUUUUUUUUUUUAAGCAUAGCAAUCUUAGCAGUUUGGAGGGAUUUUUCCAUGAACACAGGUAUUAAAAGAGCCAGGAACUGAAUAUAUUAGGUACUGAGUUACUGGCUCCAUGUGUAGCAUUUCCUGUUCAUUUUUUUUCAGUUUUCUCUUCUUCAGAGAGAUGAAGAAAGCACCUGUGGUCAACAUUGGAUAUUUAAAAACUUUUACUCAGCGUAGCUAAUUUGGAAUAAGAACGCUUCCUCUGAGUUCAGCAAAGGCGACUUAACUUCAUAGAUUCCUCAUUAGUAACAGUUUCACCAGAAGCACAUACACGAAGUUGACUUCAGGACAGUUUCGCUAGACUAAUUUCAUUCACAUUAACAUACUUUUUUGAAAGUGUAGGUGGUUUACGCUUGCUUUUGAAUUAAGAUAUGUUCUGAAGAAAACCACAGCAAGGUACUUUUCUAAAAAGCUGUCAGAAUCUGCAAGAAGUAUGUUGCAGAUUUCAUGCUAACGUAAGACUUGAAUGAAUAUAAAGGGGAAAAAAAAAACUGUCAUAACUUGUCUUGCUGUGAGCCGUAGAUGGAUAUCAGCCUUGACAGUGAGUACAAUGGAAGCUGGUUUCAGAAUACUAAUGGAAAUUUUCUGUGAGAACAAUCCUUCAGUUAAAAUUAGGAAGGGCCUGGAAGAUCAUAAAUCUAUCGGAUUUAAAGUAUUCUGUUAUGGAGUUGCAACAUGGUUUUGCUUAUCGUUGUGAUCUUACAAUGGGAAUGGUGUAAUAAAUGAUAGUUAACAGUUCAUAGUGGCUUACUAAUCUGAUAAGUAUCGAGUUAGGUUUAUUGAUGUUUUGAGCCGUUGGGAUUGUCAUGUUUCUGUACUAACAAAAAUUUGGUGUUAGCUGAUCAAUAAGUCUCAGACUAAGUAGUUCCUGCUUUUUGGUCUUUUCUAAGGUUGAAAUUAGUAGGGAUUUCUAAUGGGAAGUACUGAGGCUUGUUUUUCUGUAAUGCCAAGAGCUAAACCUUUACAGUUUAUUACCCUCAGAAUAACAUUUUGAAGAGAACUGCUUUCAGUGGAUAAUAAAACAUGAGGAGUACGCAGAUGAAUUGUGAAGAAGCAUUGCUGAUGUUAUGCAUUUCAGAAGUGAAGCCUCCUGGUUUAUAAAGACACUCUGAGGUUCACUGAGGUGUACACGGAACUCAGGUACAAAUUGCAGUGGGGUGAAUCAGAGAGCGGUCACAUUUCAGCAAGGAUGGUGCAGAUUGCCCUCAAUAAUGGCUCAGCCUAAAGUGUCUGUUUUGGUACAGAGUUGCACUGGAGCGCUUAUGGCUUAUGUCAUUUUUUGUGGAGUUGGUCAAGUACAGUUGCAAGUCGAUGAUUGUCCACUUAUAUUUUGUAGUCUUA